AAGCCUGAACGGAAGCAAUGCCGCGUGAGUGAUGAAGGUUUUCGGAUCGUAAAGCUCUGUUGCCAGGGAAGAACGCUUGGGAGAGUAACUGCUCUCAAGGUGACGGUACCUGAGAAGAAAGCCCCGGCUAACUACGUGCCAGCAGCCGCGGUAAUACGUAGGGGGCAAGCGUUGUCCGGAAUUAUUGGGCGUAAAGCGCGCGCAGGCGGUCAUUUAAGUCUGGUGUUUAAUCCCGGGGCUCAACCCCGGAUCGCACUGGAAACUGGGUGACUUGAGUGCAGAAGAGGAGAGUGGAAUUCCACGUGUAGCGGUGAAAUGCGUAGAUAUGUGGAGGAACACCAGUGGCGAAGGCGACUCUCUGGGCUGUAACUGACGCUGAGGCGCGAAAGCGUGGGGAGCAAACAGGAUUAGAUACCC
rnacentral:rRNA from 1 species